GUGCUCCCUUUGGCAGCACACACACAAAAAUUGGAAUGAUACAGAGAAGAUUAGCAUGAACCCUGUGCAAGCAUGGCAUGCAAAUUUGUGAAGCAUUCCAUAUAUUU